rnacentral:misc_RNA from 1 species
UGUGGGAGCGAGCUUGCUCGCGAUAGCGUCAAGCCAGUCGACAUCCAUGUUGAAUAUUCGUCCGCCAUCGCGAGCAAGCUCGCUCCCACA